rnacentral:tRNA from 1 species
ACUCAUUUUUCAGUUGGUAGAGCAUGAGACUCUUAAUCUCAAGGUUGUGGGUUCGAGCCCCAUAUUGGGCA